UGGGGAAUAUUGGACAAUGGGCGAAAGCCUGAUCCAGCCAUGCCGCGUGAGUGACGAAGGUCUUCGGAUUGUAAAGCUCUUUUGGCGGGGACGAUAAUGACGGUACCCGCAGAAUAAGCCCCGGCUAACUUCGUGCCAGCAGCCGCGGUAAUACGAAGGGGGCUAGCGUUGUUCGGAAUUACUGGGCGUAAAGCGCACGUAGGCGGAUUUGUAAGUCAGGGGUGAAAUCCCGGGGCUCAACCUCGGAACUGCCUUUGAUACUGCAAGUCUUGAGUCCGGAAGAGGUGAGUGGAAUUCCUAGUGUAGAGGUGAAAUUCGUAGAUAUUCGCAAGAACACCAGUGGCGAAGGCGGCUCACUGGCCCGAUACUGACGCUGAGGCACGAAAGCGUGGGGAGCAAAC
rnacentral:rRNA from 1 species